GAUGAACGCUGGCGGCGUGCCUAAUACAUGCAAGUCGAGCGGACGGACAAUAAGCGUUCUCCUCUGCCGUUGGCGGGGGGCGGGUGGGUGAGGCGUGCAUAGCCAUCCUAUAAUACGGGGGGGAUUACGGGGAAACAGUGAUGCUACUACAUCAUACAACGAACGGCAUGAAGCAAGAGUGCUUGACGGUUUUGCUGUCUCUUAUAGCUGAAUCCGCGCCGCAUUAGCUAGUUGGUAAGGUAAAGGCUUACCAAGGCAACGAUGCGUAGCCGACCUGAGAGGAUGAUCAGCCACACUGGAACUGAGACACGGUCCAGACUCCUACGGGAGGCAGCAGUAGGGAAUAUUGGGCAAUGGGCGCAAGCCUGACCCAGCCAUACCGCGUGGGUGAAGAAGGCCUUCGGGUUGUAAAGCCCUUUUGUUGGGAAAGAAAAGAAGCAGGUUAAUCCCCCGAUGUUCUGACGGUACCCAAAGAAUAAGCACCGGCUAACUUCGUG
rnacentral:rRNA from 1 species